CUGUUUAAUAGCAAAUAAUUUUGUUUUGAUUUUGAUUUCGUUAGCAGCAGCUUGGUAUGGAACAAAGCGAGAAAAGACUUAAAACGGAACUAAACGACGAAGACUUCAUUGUACCUGAUCAUGGUCGCGGCUAUAAUGCAGACAACAACAUGAAAACAGAACCGAUUGCGGGCGAGGACGAUAAUGAUGAUCCUUUGUCCGACAAUGAUUGCGAUAUUGGGCCGAUCAGGAAUCAAUUUUUUGUGGCCAAUGAGGCGAUUGAAACGCCCAACGAGGGAAUUAACGAAUUGACGCAGCCACAAAACAAGUUGACAAAAGAGCACGAUGUCACAUAGCUGUCAUAAGCAAGAUCGAGAUUUUAUGUUGAAUCAAACUCAGAGCAUGAUUGUUGGGUAUAUAAGACGAUCCCAUUGAAUAACACCGCCUCGAGACUUGCCCAAUACCAGAUCGUAGUAUUAAUCAAUUCAAUCCCCAUUGUUAGAACCCUUUUAACUUAAAUAUGUAGUUGAAAUUCUUUUAUAUGGCUUUCAACAUUCAUUUAAAAAGUGUCUUCAAGUGAAAGUGAAACAAAAAUUGAGAGAAUGUGUAAUACAUAACAGUUUACUAAUUGAAAUAUAUAUUAAUUAUAAAGGAAUAACAUAAUAUGCCUACUAAAUCGGCAGGUACCUUAAGAAAUAUUUGGCAAUUUAAAAUGGACUAUUUCUGGCAAUUACUUAUUAAAAAGGAAAAAGAAGACGUAUAGGCAAAUUUUCUCACAAUUUUCUAUUCUUAUAGAGAACAUUUCAAGAAGCUCGCAUUUGCCAACAUGGAACUAUGGCAGCCCGAGCUCGUUGGCUAUUUGAUAAACUUUGUUAAACGAAAGAUCAAGAAGACUAAAACGACGACACAUAAACAGAAAAUAUGUUAAACUUGAAUAAUGCGGCUCGAGGAUCUAACACAGACUGAUGCCAUUUUAAUCUGACAGAGAUUUUUCUAUAAGCAAAAUACAUGACUUAAGCAAAACAAGAUUAUUUACAAUCAAACUAAUUGGCAAUUGUUUUUUGUGUCACAUUAGCUUUAACAUAGUAUGUGUAUAUAAGACUCCGUAAUUGACGAACUACUUAAUAUGAGAAUUGAGCUACGAAAUGUUAAUAAAAAGCUGCAGAAUGUUUUGCUUAA